rnacentral:rRNA from 1 species
ACAGAGGGUGCGAGCGUUGUCCGGAAUCACUGGGCGUAAAGGGCGCGUAGGUGGCCUGGUAAGUCGGGGGUGAAACGCUGCGGCUCAACCGCAGCACUGCCUUCGAGACUGUCAGGCUUGAGCACGGUAGAGGCUGGUGGAAUUCCCGGUGUAGCGGUGGAAUGCGUAGAGAUCGGGAAGAACAUCGGUGGCGAAGGCGGCCAGCUGGGCCGUUGCUGACACUGAGGCGCGACAGCGUGGGGAGCAAACAGGA